GUGGCGGAGACCACGGCAACCCCAUCUUCAGAUCGGCCAAUUCUGCAACCACAUGAUCAGAGACAGUUCAAUUCGGAAAGGCGUUAGGGAUGGAAACAAGAGAAGAACUUGAAAUUUUUGUUGCAGAAAGUGUUGAAACAAAGCGAUGUGGGUAAUCUUGGGAGGAUAGUAUUGCCAAAAAAGGAAGCAGAAAUGCAUCUCCCGGAGCUGGAAGCAAGGGAUGGGAUCUCUAUCGUCAUGGAAGAUAUCGUAACCUCUCGCACCUGGAACAUGCGUUAUAGGUU